CUUCAGUUAUGGAUGAAAACAGAUGACUGGGAAAUUGCACCCUGUCUGACAAAUGGCAGGAUGGCAUCGCUCCAUGGGCUGCCACCGCAACUGCUGCUACUGAAGGAAAGGACGGGAACAAAUCGCCUCCCGCUGCUCCAAUUACUGAGCACGCUCAUCUCACAGAGGGACUGCAGUCAACUCCAUGGGAGUGGGAUGGAAAAACACUGGCUUGCGAGAGGGCACAUGAUGAUGGGGUCAAGGCUAUCCACUGUUGUUCCCAUCUGCCUACCAGGAGUCACGGACCCACGUUUCCCUUCGAGAGUGUGUGUGCAUUUGUUUUAGUCACCAUCUGCACAGAGAAGCCAGCUGUGUGGAGGCUACAGCUGGGGUUGGAGGCGUGGGAGGCUGUGGUGGGCAGUAGCAGAGCUCAGAUCGACGGGGUGUCCAGGGGACGGUGUGAGCUCAGGGACGAAGAGAGGAAGUAACAGCAGGACAGACGGAGAGGGCCUCAUGACGGGAGACUGCACAGCGUUCCAAACAUCACAACACAGAAUGAGAAGCUCAUUGUUCAUGUCUGCAGCCAUGUCUAAAAGUGUCAAUGUAAGCUGUGGCAUGCUGGUUUGAGGGGAGAUGAUCUUGGGUAGCUGCCGGUUGCCUGUCACAGCGAUGUUUGUAAGCUGCACAGAUAAAGAUCACCAUUGCUAGAAAUCAGGAUCUUGAGAACAUUCAUAUCAUUCAGAUCAUUUAUAGCCCCAUAUAGGAGCGAGUCACUUUGUUCCAUACCUAUAGACUGAACCAUAGAUGUUAAGACUUUUAUAUCGAGUCGCAUUGUCAUCUUCAGAAAUAAAAACUUCUCCAGUGAUCUAUUUUUUCCAAAAAUCAA